rnacentral:sRNA from 1 species
UGAUCGUCCCGAAGUUUCAGGAGGCAUCCUUACUAUUUUUUCUUUAAAAAUAGUAAGAUACAGCGAAAAGAGAGCGGGACACGAG